rnacentral:rRNA from 1 species
AGUUUGACUGGGGCGGUCUCCUCCUAAAGAGUAACGGAGGAGCACGAAGGUUGGCUAAUCCUGGUCGGACAUCAGGAGGUUAGUGCAAUGGCAUAAGCCAGCUUGACUGCGAGCGUGACGGCGCGAGCAGGUGCGAAAGCAGGUCAUAGUGAUCCGGUGGUUCUGAAUGGAAGGGCCAUCGCUCAACGGAUAAAAGGUACUCCGGGGAUAACAGGCUGAUACCGCCCAAGAGUUCAUAUCGACGGCGGUGUUUGGCACCUCGAUGUCGGCUCAUCACAUCCUGGGGCUGAAGUAGGUCCCAAGGGUAUGGCUGUUCGCCAUUUAAAGUGGUACGCGAGCUGGGUUUAGAACGUCGUGAGACAGUUCGGUCCCUAUCUGCCGUGGGCGCUGGAGAACUGAGGGGGGCUGCUCCUAGUACGAGAGGACCGGAGUGGACGCAUCACUGGUGUUCGGGUUGUCAUGCCAAUGGCACUGCCCGGUAGCUAAAUGCGGAAGAGAUAAGUGCUGAAA